AGAGUUUGAUCCUGGCUCAGAACGAACGCUGGCGGCGUGCCUAACACAUGCAAGUCGAACGUGAUCCGCCCUUCGGGGUGGUGAAAGUGGCGCACGGGUGAGUAACGCGUGGAUAAUCUGCCCGAGGAUUUGGGAUAACAUCUCGAAAGGGGUGCUAAUACCGAAUAAGCCCACGGGGUCUACGGAUCUUGCGGGAAAAGGGGGGGACCUUCGGGCCUCCUGUCCUUGGAUGAGUCUGCGUACCAUUAGCUAGUUGGUGGGGUAAUGGCCUACCAAGGCGACGAUGGUUAGCUGGUCUGAGAGGAUGAUCAGCCACACUGGAACUGAGACACGGUCCAGACUCCUACGGGAGGCAGCAGUGGGGAAUUUUGCGCAAUGGGGGAAACCCUGACGCAGCAACGCCGCGUGGGUGAUGAAGGCCUUCGGGUCGUAAAGCCCUGUCGGGAGGGAAGAAAUGAUUGAGGGUUAAUACCUCUUGAUCUUGACGGUACCUCCGAAGGAAGCACCGGCUAACUCCGUGCCAGCAGCCGCGGUAAUACGGAGGGUGCAAGCGUUGUUCGGAAUUAUUGGGCGUAAAGCGCGUGUAGGCGGUCUUUUAAGUCUGAUGUGAAAGCCCCGGGCUCAACCUGGGAAGUGCAUUGAAAACUGGGAGACUUGAGUACGGGAGAGGAGAGUGGAAUUCCUAGUGUAGGAGUGAAAUCCGUAGAUAUUAGGAGGAACACCGGUGGCGAAGGCGGCUCUCUGGACCGAUACUGACCCUGAGACGCGAAAGCGUGGGUAGCAAACAGGAUUAGAUACCUGGUAGUCCACGCCGUAAACGAUGAGUACUAGGUGUUGCGGUAUUGACCCUGCAGUGCCGUAGCU
rnacentral:rRNA from 1 species